rnacentral:rRNA from 1 species
GAUGAACGCUAGCGGGAGGCCUAACACAUGCAAGCCGAGCGGUAUUUGUUCUUCGGAACAGAGAGAGCGGCGCACGGGUGCGGAACACGUGUGCAACCUGCCUUUAUCUGGGGGAUAGCCUUUCGAAAGGAAGAUUAAUGCCCCAUAAUAUAUUGAGUGGCAUCAUUUGAUAUUGAAAACUCCGGUGGAUAGAGAUGGGCACGCGCAAGAUUAGAUAGUUGGUGAGGUAACGGCUCACCAAGUCAAUGAUCUUUAGGGGGCCUGAGAGGGUGAUCCCCCACACUGGUACUGAGACACGGACCAGACUCCUACGGGAGGCAGCAGUGAGGAAUAUUGGACAAUGGGUUAGCGCCUGAUCCAGCCAUCCCGCGUGAAGGACGACGGCCCUAUGGGUUGUAAACUUCUUUUGUAUAGGGAUAAACCUACUCUCGUGAGAGUAGCUGAAGGUACUAUACGAAUAAGCACCGGCUAACUCCGUG